CUCCGGUUGAUCCUGCCGGACCUGACUGCUAUCGGAUUGGUACUAAGCCAUGCGAGUCGUUGUAGCAAUACAAGGCGGACGGCUCAGUAACACGUAGUCAACCUAACCUAUGGACGUGGAUAACCUCGGGAAACUGAGAAUAAACCGCGAUAGAUCAUUAUGCCUGGAAUGGCUUAUGGUUCAAACAAUUUAUUGCCGUAGGAUGGGACUGCGGCCUAUCAGCUUGUUGGUGAGAUAAUGGCCCACCAAGGCUAUAACAGGUACGGGCUCUGAGAGGAGAAGCCCGGAGAUGGGUACUGAGACACGGACCCAGGCCCUAUGGGGCGCAGCAGGCGAGAAACCUUAGCAAUGUGCGAAAGCACGACUAGGUUAAUCCGAGUGAUUUCUGUUGAAGAAAUCUUUUGUCAGUCGUAAAACCACAGACGAAUAAGGGGUGGGCAAGUCUGGUGUCAGCCGCCGCGGUAAUACCAGCACCUCGAGUGGUCAGGAGGUUUAUUGGGCCUAAAGCAUCCGUAGCCGGCUACGCAAGUCUCCGGUUAAAUCCAGCUGCUCAACAGAUGGGCUGCCGGAGAUACUACAUAGCUAGGGAGCGGGAGAGGUAGACGGUAUUCUGUGGGUAGGGGUAAAAUCCACUGAUCCAUAGAGGACCACCAGUGGCGAAGGCGGUCUACCAGAACGCGUUCGACGGUGAGGGAUGAAAGCUGGGGGAGCAAACCGGAUUAGAUACCCGGGUAGUCCCAGCUGUAAACGAUGCAAACUCGGUGAUGCAUUGGCUUAUGGCCAAUGCAGUGCCGCAGGGAAGCCGUUAAGUUUGCCGCCUGGGAAGUACGGACGCAAGUCUGAAACUUAAAGGAUUGGCGGGGGAGCA
rnacentral:rRNA from 1 species